GUGAAACCUGUAACUUGUGUAUUGACAGUUUUUCUGGCAAAAAAAAAUACAUCUAAAUGUGCCAAUAUGCUCAAUGCCUACUAAAAAAAACCUAUAUUGCAUAUGUGCAAACAGCUUUUUUUUUCACCACUCUUUACAUACUGUAUUUUAAAUUUAAUCAGGAAGAUAAUUAAUAUUGUAAUGUGUAAUCACAUUCAGUAAAUAAGCAGAGGUAUGGAAGUUGAAUUGAAAUAACAUUUCUACGUUAGCUGCUAUUUAAU